rnacentral:rRNA from 1 species
GAUGAACGCUAGCGGCAGGCCUAAUACAUGCAAGUCGAACGGUAGGUUUUGUAGCAAUACGAAACUGAGAGUGACGUAAGGGUGCGUAACACGUAUGCAAUCUGCCCUCAACAGGAGUAUAGCUCGGGGAAACUCGGAUUAACUCUCCAUAAUAUUAUUGGAUGGCAUCAUUUGAUAAUUAAAACGCAAGUGGUUGAGGAUGAGCAUGCGCAUGAUUAGUUAGUUGGUGAGGUAACGGCUCACCAAGACGAUGAUCAUUAGGGGAACUGAGAGGUUGAUCCCCCACACUGGCACUGAGAUACGGGCCAGACUCCUACGGGAGGCAGCAGUAGGGAAUAUCGGUCAAUAGGUGAGAGCCUGAACCAGCCAUGCCGCGUGCAGGAAGACGGCCUUCUGGGUUGUAAACUGCUUUUAUCUGGGGAUAAAAAGUCCAUGCGUGGGCAAUUGAAGGUACCAGAUGAAUAAGCACCGGCUAACUACGUGCCAGCAGCCGCGGUAAUACGUAGGGUGCAAGCGUUGUCCGGAUUUAUUGGGUUUAAAGGGUGCGUAGGCGGCCUGUUAAGUCAGUGGUGAAAUCCAACAGCUCAACUGUUGAUGUGCCAAUGAUACUGACAGGC